AUUGAACACUGGCGGAAUGCUUUACACAUGCAAGUCGAGCGGCAGCGCGGGGGCAACCCUGGCGGCGAGCGGCGAACGGGUGAGUAACACAUCGGAACGUACCCAGUUGUGGGGGAUAGCCCGGCGAAAGCCGGAUUAAUACCGCAUACGACCUGAGGGUGACAGGGGGGGAUCGCAAGACCUCUCGCAGUUGGAGCGGCCGAUGGCGGAUUAGCUAGUUGGUGAGGUAAAGGCUCACCAAGGCGACGAUCCGUAGCUGGUCUGAGAGGACGACCAGCCACACUGGAACUGAGGCACGGUCCAGACUCCGACGGGAGGCAGCAGUGGGAAAUUUUGGACAAUGGGGGCAACCCUGAUCCAGCCAUUCCGCGUGAGUGAAGAAGGCCUUCGGGUUGUAAAGCUCUCUCGGCAGGAACGAAACGGUGGAGGCUAAUACCUUUCAUCAAUGACGGUACCUGAAGAAGAAGCACCGGCUAACUACGUGCCAGCAGCCGCCGUAA
rnacentral:rRNA from 1 species